GGAGUAAGCUGGAUGAUCGCCUCGAGUAAUCGGGGAGGAAAGUCCGGGCUCCGCAGGGCACGAUGCUCGCUAACAGCGAGGGGGAGCAAUCCCACGGAAAGUGCCACAGAAAAGAAAACGCCCCACCUUCGGGUGGAGCAAAGCUGAAACGGUGGUGUAAGAGACCACCAGCUCCGCAGUGAUGCGGAGGCUUGGUAAACCCCAUCGGGAGCAAGGCCGAAUAGGAAGGGGAAGAAGCUGCCCGCUGACCCUUCGGGUAAAGGCCGCUUGAGGCUCGGGGCAACCCGCGCCCUAGAGAGAUGAUCAUCCUCGACAGAACCCGGCUUAUAGGCUUACUCCAAAA
rnacentral:RNase_P_RNA from 1 species